UACGGAGGGGGCUAGCGUUGUUCGGAAUUACUGGGCGUAAAGCGCACGUAGGCGGCUUUGUAAGUUAGAGGUGAAAGCCCGGGGCUCAACCCCGGAAUUGCCUUUAAGACUGCAUCGCUAGAAUUGUGGAGAGGUAAGUGGAAUUCCGAGUGUAGAGGUGAAAUUCGUAGAUAUUCGGAAGAACACCAGUGGCGAAGGCGACUUACUGGUCCGGUACUGACGCUGAGGUGCGAAAGCGUGGGGAGCAAACAGG
rnacentral:rRNA from 1 species